CUGGAAGUGAAUUUUUAGCAUAUGCUUGAAAUGCUUAUACUCUGCUGGCAUAGAGGUCUUAGUACCAAAGGCAGGAAUGCUUCCACCAGGAAACAUAAUAAUGAUUCCAUUGACCUGGGAGAUAAGACCACCACUCAGCUACUUUGGGCUCCUCAGGCCUCUAAACAUCACGUAAGAAGGGAGGGACUGUGCUGGCUGGGGUGAUUGAUGCUGGCUGCCAAGGCGAUUUUGGACUGCCAUUCCACAAUGGAUGUAAGGAACAGUACGUCUGGAAUACAGGAGAUCCUUUAAGGCAUCUCUUAGUCAUGCCCUGUGAUUAAAGUCAAUGGAAAACUACAACAGCCCACUCCAAACAGGACCACUAAUGGCCUAGACCUUUCAAGAAUGAAGAUUUGGCGCAUCCUACCAGGCAAAGAACCACAACAAGCUGAGGUAAUUGCUGAGGGAAAAGGGAAUAUAGGUAGCCAUAAAUACCAGCUACAGUCAAGUGACCAGUUAUAGAGACAGGGACUCUAAUUGUCCUGAGUAUUUCUUCCUGAUUUUGUUAUGAAUGUGUGUGUUUUCCUCUCUUACCUGCUUAUCGUGUAACAUAAGCUGUAUUGACUUUGUAUCAUAGUAUUUAAGUAUUGUUACCUUUCUGUCAUAUACUUAAGCUACAGGAUCUCAAGGUGAAGAAGAAAGAUCAUUCAUGGACUUUGCCUCCUCUUCUGGGGAAAGGGUUAGUGGGUUUUUGGCUGUACACAGGAUAGUUCUAUCACGUUAGGCAGAGCUAUAACCUUAUGAUUGUCUUUACUUGAAGAUUAAGUACAGUUUAGGGAGAUGUGUGUGGGUGCCCAGUUGACAGGAGUGGACUUGGGAUGGUUAAUUUUAUGGGUCAAUUUGGUGGUCCAUGGUGCCCAGAUAUUUGUUCAAACAUUAUUCUGGAUGUUUCUGUGAGGGUGUUUUUGGAGGAGCUUUACUAUUAAAUCAGUGGACUUUGAGUGAAGCAUAUUGCCCUCCAUAUGAGGCUUCUGCAGUUAGUGGAAGGCCUGAAUAGAACACAAAGAUGACCUCCCCUGAGCAAGAGAAACCCCGCCUGCAGACAGCCUUUGAACUUCCUCCGCAUCAUCGCUUUUCCUGGUUCACCGGCAGACAGCCUUUGGACUUGAACUGUGACUCUUUCCUGGACCUCCUCCAUUAGAUUUGGAGAUUUUAGAUGUGCCAAGCCUCCACCGUGAUGUGAACCAAUUGUUCUCUCGUGUGUGUGUGAAUCCUUUUGGUUCCGUGUCUCUGGAGAACCCUGCCUAAUACACUUGCCUAAGAUUAUAUAGAUGAUAAACAGUAGAAUUGGCUUUAAAUCCUGCAGUUUGGUGCCAGAAUCCACACUCUUGAUGUAUACCAUUCUGUUAGCCUUUAUCACUGUAAUAGGUAAUGUCCAUUUGAGUCCAAUAGUGAUAGCUUUUUCCCAUGUCUUCAUAUGAACUGAUCAUAUUGGUUAAGGGGAUUCCAAGUGGCUAAGAAGCUAGCUAUUAGAAUAAAAAACUCCAAAUGUCAAAGGCUAAUCACAAUAGAAGCUUACUUCUUACAUAUUCGUCAGUUUGAUAGAGGUAAUCUUGGUUGCUAGGCUACUUCCUCCACACAGUCAUUCAGGGACUCAGGCUGCUAUAGGCUCCGCCUCCCUCAACAUGUAGCUUCUAAGAUCACCCUGGGCUUUGAUUCCACUCUAGCCAGACAGAAGGGGAAAGGAGAAUGGUAGAUUAGGCAUGGAAAGUUUUUAUACUUACUACUGCUAAGGAAUUUGUUUGUUUGAUUUAAAAGGAAAGCAGUUUAAAUUGUUUUAUUCUGAAAUUAUUUUGUGUGUAUAUGUAGGUAUGCAUGUAAAGUUUCCAAUCUCUCCUUCAUUUUAUUUCAAACUCCUUAAAUUAACAGGGUAUAAACAGAGAGGCAGGUGUAUUUCUUCAGGAAUCAACCAAAUUGACUGGAAGAGCUGUUUUACAUAGAGGAUAUUGAGAGAGAAGAUUGGAGAUAAAGUCGAAGCCAGAUUGUGGAAGGCCUUGAAAUGCUUGGCCAAAGGGCUUGGACCUUAUCCUCUGAGAGAUCUCAGGUUCUCUCUCUCUCCUCAACUAACUGCCCUUAUUCUCUACACCAGCGAAUCACAGCCUACAUUCACCACCACGUGACGUGGUAAUAUUUAACUUGUCCUUUGUUUAUUUCCUUUCUUACCCCACACCCAUCACCUGGAUAAACUGUAUGCAUCUCAACAGCAAGAACAAUGACUUAUAUUUUUCUCAAUGCUGCACAAGCCUAGGAGAGGGUCUCAUAUGUAAUGUUUAACGACUACAUUCUGUUGACAUGCAAGAGGUAUAUGUCCCUACACCUUCAAACGCCCUACAAAUUGUUGAAUAUAACAAUAGCAUAUCAUUUCCUCCCCAAAUCUGGUAUAUUUUGACUGAAAAAUGUGAAUAAUAUCUUGAAGCUUCUAAUGCCUUUAUAAGCUACCACAUUCUGAUCAGAGUUCUUGG
rnacentral:lncRNA from 1 species